UAGAGGAAGUAAAAGUCGUAACAAGGUCUCCGUUGGUGAACCAGCGGAGGGAUCAUUGCUGGAACGCGCCCCAGGCGCACCCAGAAACCCUUUGUGAACUUAUACCUUACUGUUGCCUCGGCGCUAGCUGGUCCCUCGGGGCCCCUCACCCUCGGGUGUUGAGACAGCCCGUCGGCGGCCAACCUAACUCUUGUUUUUACACUGAAACUCUGAGCACAAAACAUAAAUGAAUCAAAACUUUCAACAACGGAUCUCUUGGUUCUGGCAUCGAUGAAGAACGCAGCGAAAUGCGAUAAGUAAUGUGAAUUGCAGAAUUCAGUGAAUCAUCGAAUCUUUGAACGCACAUUGCGCCCUCUGGUAUUCCGGAGGGCAUGCCUGUUCGAGCGUCAUUUCAACCCUCAAGCCUGGCUUGGUGAUGGGGCACUGCUUCUUACCCAAGGAGCAGGCCCUGAAAUUCAGUGGCGAGCUCGCCAGGACCCCGAGCGCAGUAGUUAAACCCUCGCUCUGGAAGGCCCUGGCGGUGCCCUGCCGUUAAACCCCCAACUUCUGAAAAUUUGACCUCGGAUCAGGUAGGAAUACCCGCUGAACUUAAGCAUAU
rnacentral:rRNA from 1 species